AGUCAGUCUUCCACUAGCAGCCUUUGGAUGAAGAUGUAGAACUCUCAGCUCUGCCUGGGCCAUGCCUGUCUGGAUGCUUCCAUGCUUCCGCCUUGAUGAUAAUGGACUGAACCUCUGCACCUGUAAGCCAGCCCCAAUUAAAUGUUGUUUUUAUUAGACUUGCCUUGGUCAUGGUGUCUGUUCACAGCAGUAAAACCCUGACUAAGACAGAAGUUGGUACCAGGGACUGGGGUAUUGCUGUGAUAGGCCUGACCAUGCUUUUAUUUGAAAGAAUGUGGAAUUUGGGACUUUGGAUUUGGAAAGCAGUGGAAUGCUUUAAAUGGGGCUUAAUGGGUCAUCCUAGUAGGAAUAUGGAAGACUUUGUUGCUGGGAGUGAUUUGAACUGUGUUGACCUGGCCCAAGAGAUUUCAAAGGAGAAUUUCAGAAUGUGGCAAAGAGACUGGUUUUGUGGUAUUUUGGUGAAGAAUGUGGCUACUUUUUGCCCUUGUCUGAGCAAUUUGCCUGAGGCUAAGGUGAAGAGACUUGGAUUAGUUCCAUUGACAAAAGAAGUUUCAAAAAGCCCAGCAGAGAUUUUGUUCUCUGGUUAAGUCUUAUGAAGAGAAGUUUGAACAAGCAUAGCAAGCUUAGAAAGGAAAAAUAUAAAAUAUAUGGUUUGAGUAUUAAAGGAGUACCAGGAAGUGAAAUGGAGCAAAAUCUUGUGUUCUAGGAGAUAAAAGAUUAAGGGAGUGGGACCUUGGGGCAAGAUUCUACCCAGCUUAAUUAGAUCCAGGCAUGAUGGUACACACCUUUAAUCCCAUGAAACAAGCAUGCUGAUCUCUGCAUUCUAGGUCAAUCUACAGAGCAAGAACCAGGAUAGCCAAGCUUAGGCAGU
rnacentral:lncRNA from 1 species